rnacentral:lncRNA from 1 species
UGUAAAAUUUUUUGUACAAAUAUCUGGUGAAUAGUAAUGAUGUUCCAUGCUCUUGGUCCUCCAUUCAAUUUGGUGCCAGGGCGGACCACCCACUCUGGAUACGCUACUAUGCAGCAAAAUUAUCCACUGUGCACCACCACCCCAUUUUUUUUCUUUUACUAUAUUCUUAUGACAAACUCAUGGAUGUAUGGACAAACUACAAGUCGUGUUAGUGUAUGCUACAAGUGCAGUGGAACCAUGGUCAGCGUUACCGCAGAAUUAAAAAUUUUUGGAUCAGAAUCGGCAAUUUUCGGUGUCUCGAUUUUUAUUAAAUUAAAAAAAACUUUCAUUUUUAUUUGAUUUAAAUAAUCAUUAAACAAAAAUAACAAAUCAUUUCUUGUAAG